GGGGAAUAUUGGGCAAUGGGCGAAAGCCUGACCCAGCAACGCCGCGUGAAGGAUGAAGGUCUUCGGAUUGUAAACUUCUUUGAUUAGGGAAGAAUUUUUGACCUACCUAAAGAACAAGUCACGGCUAACUACGUGCCAGCAGCCGCGGUAAUACGUAGGUGACAAGCGUUAUCCGGAUUUACUGGGUGUAAAGGGCGUGUAGGCGGUUUUGCAAGUCAGAUGUGAAAUUCCCAGGCUUAACCUGGGCGCUGCAUCUGAAACUGCAAGACUUGAGUACUGGAGAGGAUAGUGGAAUUCCUAGUGUAGCGGUAAAAUGCGCAGAUAUUAGGAGGAACACCGGUGGCGAAGGCGACUAUCUGGACAGUAACUGACGCUGAGGCGCGAAAGCGUGGGGAGCAAAC
rnacentral:rRNA from 1 species